rnacentral:rRNA from 1 species
GACGUACGCUGGCGGCGUGCCUAAUACAUGCACGUAGAACGCUGAAGGAGGAUCUUUCUCUUCUGGCUGAGUUGCGAACGGGUGAGUAACGCGUAUGUAACCUGCCUGGUAGCGGGGGAUAACUAUUGGAAACGAUAGCUAAUACCGCCUAACAGUAGAUGUUGCAUGACAUUUACUUAAAAGGUGCAAUUGUAUCACUUUAAGAUUGACCUGCUUUGUCUUAUCUAGUUGGUGGGGUAACGGCUCACCAAGGCGACGAUACAUAGUCGACCAGAGAGUGCGAUCGGCCACGCUGGGACUGAGACGCGGCGCAGACUCCUAAGUGAGGCAGCAGUAGGGAGUCUUCGGCAAAGGACGGAAGUCUGACCGAGCAACGCAGCGUGAGUGAAGAAGGGUUUCGGAUCGUAAAGCGCUGUUGUAAGAGAAGAACGAGGGUGGGAGUGGAAAGUUCACACUGUGACGGUAACUUACCAGAGAGGGACGGCUAGCUACGUG